UACGUAGGGUGAAAGCGUUAAUCGGAAUUACUGGGCGUAAAGCGUGCGCAGGCGGUUGUGCAAGACAGAUGUGAAAUCCCCGGGCUUAACCUGGGAACUGCAUUUGUGACUGCACGGCUAGAGUGUGUCAGAGGGGGGUAGAAUUCCACGUGUAGCAGUGAAAUGCGUAGAUAUGUGGAGGAAUACCGAUGGCGAAGGCAGCCCCCUGGGAUAACACUGACGCUCAUGCACGAAAGCGUGGGGAGCAAACAGG
rnacentral:rRNA from 1 species